UCCCUGGUGGCUCAGACGGUAAAGUGUCUGUCUGCAAUGCAGGAGACACAGGUUCGAUUCCUGGGUUGGGAA
rnacentral:tRNA from 1 species